rnacentral:tRNA from 1 species
GCGUCGGCUGAGUAUGGGCGUACUCAAGUGGCUGUAACGCACCCGCCUGCGGGCAUUGAUGGUUCGAAUCCGUCCCGACGCA